CACGGCAAAAGUUUUUUUGCAUAUCCUGCACAGUUUCAGUUCUCGCAGAGUACGCAAAAAAUCAAUUUUGACGUGAG
rfam:Bombyx mori DNA, contig: Bm_scaf48_contig25810, strain: p50T/Dazao, build 2, whole genome shotgun sequence.